AACAUACUCCCUCUGUUCGGAAUUACUCGUCCAAGAAAUGCAUGUAUCCGGAUGUAUUUUAGUUGUAGAUACAUUCAUUUUUAUCCAUUUUUGUGACAAGUAAUUCCGAACGGAGGGAGUAGAAU
rfam:Triticum aestivum genome assembly, contig: Triticum_aestivum_CS42_TGACv1_scaffold_130219_2BL